rnacentral:rRNA from 1 species
AAGCUCGUAUUGAAUUUCGGGAUUAGUACGUCGGUCGUGCCUUAGGUACGUACUGGUGUUACUGGUUCCUACCUUCUGACGAACCAUCAUGUCAUUAAUUUGGUGUGGUGGGGAAUCAGGACUGUUACUUUGAAAAAAUUAGAGUGUUUAAAGCAGGCUCGCGCUUGAAUACAUUAGCAUGGAAUAAUGAAAUAGGACGUUGAUCCUAUUUUGUUGGUUUCUAGGAUUGACGUAAUGAUUAAUAGGGAUAGUUGGG